rnacentral:RNase_P_RNA from 1 species
UUUUGACAAACGCUGCAUUUUUUAUAAUGUAGAGGAAAGUCCAUGCUCGCACUGUCUGAGAUGAUAGUAGUGUUCGUGCUUAGGGAAAAAAUAACCUAAGGUAAGUUUUACUUAACGGCUUCGAAAUAACCUAAGUCUUUUGAUAUGGUUAGAGUAGAUAUAAAAGUGCCAUAGUGACGAAUAAGACAGAAAUGUUGGAAAUGGAACGCGGUAAACCCCACGAGCGAGAAACCCAAAUUUUGGUAGGGGAGCUUAAACGAAGGAAUCAAACGGAGUUUAGGAAGGGAAACCUUAGAUAAAUGUUUGUCGCCUGGUAACAGGAACGGAACAUGGCUUAUAA